rnacentral:tRNA from 1 species
ACCCCUUUGGCCUAAUGGAUAAGGCAUCAGACUUCUAAUCUGAGGAUUGCGGGUUCGAGUCCCGCAAGGGGUG